rnacentral:rRNA from 1 species
GAUGAACGCUGGCGGCGUGCCUAAUACAUGCAAGUCGAGCGAACAGAUAAGGAGCUUGCUCCUUUGACGUUAGCGGCGGACGGGUGAGUAACACGUGGAUAACCUACCUAUAAGACUGGGAUAACUUCGGGAAACCGGAGCUAAUACCGGAUAACAUAUUGAACCGCAUGGUUCAAUUGUGAAAGGCGGCUUUGCUGUCACUUAUAGAUGGAUCCGCGCCGUAUUAGCUAGUUGGUAAGGUAACGGCUUACCAAGGCAACGAUACGUAGCCGACCUGAGAGGGUGAUCGGCCACACUGGAACUGAGACACGGUCCAGACUCCUACGGGAGGCAGCAGUAGGGAAUCUUCCGCAAUGGGCGAAAGCCUGACGGAGCAACGCCGCGUGAGUGAUGAAGGUCUUCGGAUCGUAAAACUCUGUUAUCAGGGAAGAACAAAUGUGUAAGUAACUGUGCACAUCUUGACGGUACCUGAUCAGAAAGCCACGGCUAACUACGUG